rnacentral:rRNA from 1 species
GAGUUUGAUCCUGGCUCAGGAUGAACGCUGGCGGCGUGCUUAACACAUGCAAGUCGAGCGCGGUCCCUUUGGUGCUUGCACCAAAGAAGACUGAGCGGCGGACGGGUGAGUAACGCGUGGGUAACCUGCCCUAUACACAUGGAUAACAUGCUGAAAAGCAUACUAAUACAUGAUAACGUACACUGAUGGCAUCUUCGGUGUAUCAAAGCGUUAGCGGUAUAGGAUGGACCCGCGUCUGAUUAGCUAGUUGGUGGGGUAAAAGCCUACCAAGGCCACGAUCAGUAGCCGACCUGAGAGGGUGAUCGGCCACAUUGGAACUGAGACACGGUCCAAACUCCUACGGGAGGCAGCAGUGGGGAAUAUUGCACAAUGGGCGAAAGCCUGAUGCAGCAACGCCGCGUGAACGAUGAAGGUCUUCGGAUCGUAAAGUUCUGUCGCAGGGGAAGAUAAUGACGGUACCCUGUGAGGAAGCACCGGCUAACUACGUGCCAGCAGCCGCGGUAAUACGUAGGGUGCUAGCGUUAUCCGGAUUUACUGGGCGUAAAGGGUGCGUAGGUGGUCUUUCAAGUCGGUGGUUAAAGGCUACGGCUCAACCGUAUUAAGCCGCCGAAACUGGAAGACUUGAGUGCAGGAGAGGACAGUGGAAUUCUCAGUGUAGCGGUGAAAUGCGUAGAUAUUGAGAAGAACACCAGUAGCGAAGGCGGCUUUCUGGACUGUAACUGACACUGAGGCACGAAAGCGUGGGUAGCAAACAGGAUUAGAUACCCUGGUAGUCCACGCCGUAAACGAUGAGUAUUAGGUGUCGGGGGUUACCCCCCUCGGUGCCGCAGUUAACGCAUUAAAUACUCCGCCUGGGGAGUACGCACGCAAGUGUGAAACUCAAAGGAAUUGACGGGGACCCGCACAAGUAGCGGAGCAUGUGGUUUAAUUCGAAGCAACGCGAAGAACCUUACCUAAGCUUGACAUCUCUCAGAUCGGUAGUUAAUCCUACCUUCCCUUCGGGGCUGAGAUGACAGGUGGUGCAUGGUUGUCGUCAGCUCGUGUCGUGAGAUGUUGGGUUAAGUCCCGCAACGAGCGCAACCCUUGUCUUUAGUUGCCAGCAUUAAGUUGGGCACUCUAGAGAGACUGCCAGGGAUAACCUGGAGGAAGGUGGGGAUGACGUCAAAUCAUCAUGCCCCUUAUGCUUAGGGCUACACACGUGCUACAAUGGGUGGUACAGAGGGUUGCCAAGCCGCAAGGUGGAGCUAAUCCCUUAAAGCCAUUCUCAGUUCGGAUUGUAGGCUGAAACUCGCCUACAUGAAGCUGGAGUUACUAGUAAUCGCAGAUCAGAAUGCUGCGGUGAAUGCGUUCCCGGGUUCUUGUACACACCGCCCGUCAAGGACG